UACGGAGGGGGCUAGCGUUGUUCGGAAUUACUGGGCGUAAAGCGCGCGUAGGCGGACCUGCAAGUCGGGGGUGAAAGCCCGAGGCUCAACCUCGGAACUGCCUUCGAUACUGCGGGUCUCGAGUCCGGGAGAGGUGAGUGGAAUUCCUAGUGUAGAGGUGAAAUUCGUAGAUAUUAGGAGGAACACCUGAGGUGAAGACGGGUUGCUGGGCCGACACUGACGCUGAGUGCGCGAAAGCCAGGGGAGCAAACGGG
rnacentral:rRNA from 1 species